CACGUACAACGAGGCGCUGGUGUUCGACGUGGCCCCGGAGAGCGUGGAGAACGUGGGGCUCAGCAUCGCCGUGGUUGACUACGACUGCAUCGGACACAACGAGGUGAUCGGCGUGUGCCGCGUGGGCGCCGACGCCGCCGACCCGCACGGCCGCGAGCACUGGGCCGAGAUGCUGGCCAAUCCGCGCAAGCCCGUGGAGCACUGGCACCAGCUGGUGGAGGGGUGCUGAGGACUGUAACAGCUGGGCACAGAGCUCACAUUUGAGAUUUGAGAAGACUGUGACUCUACUUAGGUGGACAGGAUGGAGGCCACUCCCUUCUUCCAUCAUUCGCUCUGCUCCUAAUUCAUUCACUCAUUCACUCUACAAACUUCUCCAGGACUUUCUGGAAAAGACUUUGAGCAGCUUCACAAAAGGCAGCAAAGGACUAUCAGAGAAAGAGAACUCGGAGUGAGGGGUCUGGCCUAGGCCCGGGAUCGGACCAGGUCCCCUCAGGACCCCAUCCUUUCCUGCCCGGACCGUGAAUUCACCUCCUCGAAGCCAUAACGUCCGAGCUGCUGGUGCGGGGCCGCCCCGGGCCUGCCCUUCCUACCCCCAGAGGCGAGAGGGUGGGCGGCAGGCGGGCCUAGCUCCCUGUUUCAGGGCGGGGGGGCAUUCAGCCUCCACUGUGUCUGUCUUCUCUUCCCUGGGGCUCCCCCUUGAGGCAAGGGGCCGUGCAUGUCUGGGGGACCCCGCCCCCAAGCCAUCCGUCUGUCUCUUUGCUGUUUGUCCGAGACUUAGUGUCCUGACCCUUGUUAUCUCUGUGAAUGUCAACGGGCCAAUCCUCUGUGUUCCCUCAGAGACACACACCUGUGUCCGCCCCUUCUGUUCACCACCCCCGCGUCUGGCCGGUCCCCCCACUGCUGCUGCUGUCAACGCCAGAAUAAACACACUCUGUGGGUCUCACUCCA